rnacentral:rRNA from 1 species
GAAUGAUGGCAACUAAGGGCGAGGGUUGCGCUCGUUGCGGGACUUAACCCAACAUUUCACAACACGAGCUGACGACAGCCAUGCAGCACCUGUCUCACAGUUCCCGAAGGCACCAAUCCAUCUCUGGAAAGUUCUGUGGAUGUCAAGACCAGGUAAGGUUCUUCGCGUUGCAUCGAAUUAAACCACAUGCUCCACCGCUUGUGCGGGCCCCCGUCAAUUCAUUUGAGUUUUAACCUUGCGGCCGUACUCCC